AGCUUUGCGCAGUGGCAGUAUUGUAGCCAAUGAGGUUUAUCCAAGGCGCGAUUAUUGCUAAUUGGAAGGCAUAUGCUAUUUUUAAUUCC
rnacentral:snRNA from 1 species